CCAUCUCAGGAAAAAAAAAAAAAAACCACGGAGAUAGGGACUUGGGGCCAAGAGCUAUGAGCCGAGCCUCUGAGUCCAGUGGGAGUUAAUUCCUGGCUGACGGGGCCCUGCCUGAUUUCUCAGGUACUAAGGUCUACAUCGACCCCUUCACUUAUGAAGACCCUAAUGAGGCUGUGAGGGAAUUUGCAAAAGAGAUCGAUGUCUCCUACGUCAAGAUUGAAGAGGUGAUUGGUGCAGGUGAGUUUGGCGAGGUGUGCCGGGGGCGACUCAAGGCCCCGGGGAAGAAGGAGAGCUGUGUGGCAAUCAAGACCCUGAAGGGUGGCUACACGGAGCGGCAGCGGCGCGAGUUCCUGAGCGAGGCCUCCAUCAUGGGCCAGUUCGAGCACCCCAAUAUCAUCCGCCUGGAGGGUGUGGUCACCAACAGCAUGCCCGUCAUGAUUCUCACAGAGUUUAUGGAGAACGGCGCCCUGGACUCCUUCCUGCGGCUAAACGACGGACAAUUCACGGUCAUCCAGCUCGUGGGCAUGCUGCGGGGCAUCGCCUCGGGCAUGCGGUACCUUGCCGAGAUGAGCUACGUCCACCGAGACCUGGCUGCUCGCAACAUCCUAGUCAACAGCAACCUCGUCUGCAAAGUGUCUGACUUUGGCCUUUCCCGAUUCCUGGAGGAGAACUCUUCCGAUCCCACCUACACAAGCUCCCUG
rnacentral:sRNA from 1 species